rnacentral:rRNA from 1 species
AACAGGAUUAGAUACCCUGGUAGUCCACGCCGUAAACGAUGUCGACUUGGAGGUUGUGCCCUUGAGGCGUGGCUUCCGGAGCUAACGCGUUAAGUCGACCGCCUGGGGAGUACGGCCGCAAGGUUAAAACUCAAAUGAAUUGACGGGGGCCCGCACAAGCGGUGGAGCAUGUGGUUUAAUUCGAUGCAACGCGAAGAACCUUACCUACUCUUGACAUCCAGAGAACUUAGCAGAGAUGCUUUGGUGCCUUCGGGAACUCUGAGACAGGUGCUGCACGGCUGUCGUCAGCUCGUGUUGUGAAAUGUUGGGUUAAGUCCCGCAACGAGCGCAACCCUUAUCCUUUGUUGCCAGCGGUUCGGCCGGGAACUCAAAGGAGACUGCCAGUGAUAAACUGGAGGAAGGUGGGGAUGACGUCAAGUCAUCAUGGCCCUUACGAGUAGGGCUACACACGUGCUACAAUGGCAUAUACAAAGAGAAGCGACCUCGCGAGAGCAAGCGGACCUCAUAAAGUAUGUCGUAGUCCGGAUUGGAGUCUGCAACUCGACUCCAUGAAGUCGGAAUCGCUAGUAAUCGUGGAUCAGAAUGCCACGGUGAAUACGUUCCAGGGCCUUGUACACACCGCCCGUCACACCAUGGGAGUGGGUUGCAAAAGAAGUAGGUAGCUUAACCUUCGGGAGGGCGCUUACCACUUUGUGAUUCAUGACUGGGGUGAAGUCGUAACAAGGUAACC